rnacentral:rRNA from 1 species
UACGUAGGGGGCGAGCGUUGUCCGGAUUCAUUGGGCGUAAAGAGCUCGUAGGCGGCUUGGCAAGUCGGGUGUGAAAACUCCAGGCUCAACCUGGAGACGCCACCCGAUACUGCCAUGGCUUGAGUCCGGUAGGGGAACACGGAAUUCCUGGUGUAGCGGUGAAAUGCGCAGAUAUCAGGAGGAACACCGGUGGCGAAGGCGGUGGUCUGGGCCGGUACUGACGCUGAGGAGCGAAAGCUAGGGGAGCAAACAGG